rnacentral:rRNA from 1 species
CUAAAAGGUAACGGAGGCGCUCAAAGGUUCCCUCAGAAUGGUUGGAAAUCAUUCAUAGAGUGUAAAGGCAUAAGGGAGCUUGACUGCGAGACCUACAAGUCGAGCAGGGUCGAAAGACGGACUUAGUGAUCCGGUGGUUCCGCAUGGAAGGGCCAUCGCUCAACGGAUAAAAGCUACCCCGGGGAUAACAGGCUUAUCUCCCCCAAGAGUUCACAUCGACGGGGAGGUUUGGCACCUCGAUGUCGGCUCAUCGCAUCCUGGGGCUGUAGUCGGUCCCAAGGGUUGGGCUGUUCGCCCAUUAAAGCGGUACGCGAGCUGGGUUCAGAACGUCGUGAGACAGUUCGGUCCCUAUCCGUCGUGGGCGUAGGAAAUUUGAGAGGAGCUGUCCUUAGUACGAGAGGACCGGGAUGGACAUACCUCUGGUGUACCAGUUGUCGUGCCAACGGCAUAGCUGGGUAGCUAUGUGUGGACGGGAUAAGUGCUGAAAGCAUCUAAGCAUGAAGCCCCCCUCAAGAUGAGAUUUCCCAACUUCG